AUGGUGAACCUUGUGGCAGCACAGACGCCAUUAUUGCAUGGCCUAAUGAAAAUGGCAGGAGUGCAACCUCACCGAGUAGAGAUUGAGCCUGGCACGGUCAUGAACUUUUGGGUUCCAAAUGAAACCGUCAAGAAACCUCAAAAAGGUGAAAAGAACAAGACCAAAACCUUAACCAAACCAAACAAACCUGUAAUAGUUCUAGUCCAUGGCUUUGCUGCUGAAGGUAUUGUCACUUGGCAAUUCCAAGUUGGUGCCUUGACCAAAAAGUAUUCAGUUUAUAUCCCUGACCUUCUUUUCUUCGGUAGCUCAAUCACUGAUAAAACAGACCGUUCGCCAACGUUUCAGGCUGAAACAUUGGUGAAAGGUCUUAAGAAGUUCGGAAUAGAGAAGUGUAUUGUAGUGGGGUUUAGCUAUGGUGGCAUGGUGGCGUUUAAGAUGGCUGAGUUGUAUCCUGACCUGGUUCAAGCCAUGGUCAUAUCUGGUUCAAUCCUGGCAAUGACUGACUCGAUCAGUGAAGCAACUCUAAGUGAACUUGGGUUCAAGUCCUCCUCGGAGCUUUUGCUGCCUGAUUCUGUUAAAGGUCUUAAAACACUACUUUCUGUUGCUACUUACAAGAAGCUUUGGUUCCCAAAUAGGCUUCACAAAGACUACCUUGAGGUGAUGUUCACUAACAGAAAAGAGAGAGCUGAACUUCUAGAGGGGUUAGUCAUCAACAAUAAAGACCCCACAAUCCCUAGGUUUGUACAGCCACAAUUAAAUGUUGCAGAAGAUACAUCUCUUAUGGGGGGAGAACGACCAAAUCUUCAAUCUGGGGCUCGCACAGAACAUGAAAGGGCAACUAGGCGAGACGGCAACAUUUCAGGGCAUACAGAAGGCAGGCCACUUAGUUCACCUGGAACGUCCCUGUGUCUAUAAUAGAUGUCUCAAGCGAUUUCUUACUUCGUUGCUUGAAAAUGGAGUGCAGAAGUGACAAGACAACAAAUAUCUUUCAUUUUGCCUUCAUAUUUACUGCACUUUGUACUACUUGUCGGUGUUCUAGGGACCCAGAGAGAAAAAAUGACAGUGAAAGCACUGACCACCGUGUAAAUAGUGAAGGUCCCUGUUGACAGAGCAGUGGAUUCAUUGGUUAGAAAUGUUAAAUAUAAUUUGUAACUUUCAAUAUCUUUUAUUAGCUUUUAUAGUUUUGUUUCAGUUGUCUUUUAUUAGCUUUUAUGGUUUUUUAUUAAAAGAAAGUGUUUUUGCUUCUUUAUUAAUUAAGCUUUGUAGUUUUUUUACUCUUCCUUGUACUAUAAAAGGUGAUCAAAACAACAAAAAAAUAUAAUAAGAUUUGCUUUUGGUAUUGAGCUCUAUCA